CCUACGGGAGGCAGCAGUGGGGAAUAUUGGGCAAUGGGCGCAAGCCUGACCCAGCAACGCCGCGUGAAGGAAGAAGGCUUUCGGGUUGUAAACUUCUUUUAAGAGGGAAGAGUAGAAGACGGUACCUCUUGAAUAAGCCACGGCUAACUACGUGCCAGCAGCCGCGGUAAUACGUAGGUGGCAAGCGUUAUCCGGAUUUACUGGGUGUAAAGGGCGUGUAGGCGGGAAAGCAAGUCAGAUGUGAAAACCAUGGGCUCAACCUGUGGCCUGCAUUUGAAACUGUUUUUCUUGAGUACUGGAGAGGC
rnacentral:rRNA from 1 species